rnacentral:rRNA from 1 species
GACGAACGCUGGCGGCGUGCUUAACACAUGCAAGUCGAACGGAAAGGCCCCGCUUUUGUGGGGUGCUCGAGUGGCGAACGGGUGAGUAACACGUGAGUAACCUGCCCUUGACUUUGGGAUAACUUCAGGAAACUGGGGCUAAUACCGGAUAGGAGCUCCUGCUGCAUGGUGGGGGUUGGAAAGUUUCGGCGGUUGGGGAUGGACUCGCGGCUUAUCAGCUUGUUGGUGGGGUAGUGGCUUACCAAGGCUUUGACGGGUAGCCGGCCUGAGAGGGUGACCGGCCACAUUGGGACUGAGAUACGGCCCAGACUCCUACGGGAGGCAGCAGUGGGGAAUAUUGCACAAUGGGCGGGAGCCUGAUGCAGCAACGCCGCGUGCGGGAUGACGGCCUUCGGGUUGUAAACCGCUUUCGCCUGUGACGAAGCGUGAGUGACGGUAAUGGGUAAAGAAGCACCGGCUAACUACGUG